AUUGAACGCUGGCGGCAGGCCUAACACAUGCAAGUCGAACGGUAACAGGAAACAGCUUGCUGUUUCGCUGACGAGUGGCGGACGGGUGAGUAAUGUCUGGGAAACUGCCUGAUGGAGGGGGAUAACUACUGGAAACGGUAGCUAAUACCGCAUAACGUCGCAAGACCAAAGAGGGGGACCCUCGGGCCUCUUGCCAUCGGAUGUGCCCAGAUGGGAUGAGCUUGUUGGUGGGGUAACGGCUCACCAAGGCGACGAUCCCUAGCUGGUCUGAGAGGAUGACCAGCCACACUGGAACUGGGACACGGACCAGACUCCUACGGGAGGCAGCAGUGGGGAAUAUUGCACAAUGGGCGCAAGCCUGAUGCAGCCAGGCCGCGUGUAUGAAGAAGGCCUUCGGGUUGUAAAGUACUUUCAGCGGGGAGGAAGGGAGUAAAGUUAAUACCUUGGCUCAUUGACGUUACCCGCAGAAGAAGCACCGGCUAACUCCGUG
rnacentral:rRNA from 1 species